rnacentral:rRNA from 1 species
GACGAACGCUGGCGGCGUGCCUAAUACAUGCAAGUAGAACGCACAGUUUAUACCGUAGCUUGCUACACCAUAAACUGUGAGUUGCGAACGGGUGAGUAACGCGUAGGUAACCUGCCUGGUAGCGGGGGAUAACUAUUGGAAACGAUAGCUAAUACCGCAUAAUAUUGAUUAUUGCAUGAUAAUUGAUUGAAAGAUGCUAUUGCAUCACUACCAGAUGGACCUGCGUUGUAUUAGCUAGUAGGUGAGGUAACGGCUCACCUAGGCGACGAUACAUAGCCGACCUGAGAAGGUGAUCGGCCACACUGGGACUGAGACACGGCCCAGACUCCUACGGGAGGCAGCAGUAGGGAAUCUUCGGCAAUGGACGAAAGUCUGACCGAGCAACGCCGCGUGAGUGAAGAAGGUUUUCGGAUCGUAAAGCUCUGUUGUAAGAGAAGAACGGGUGUGAGAGUGGAAAGUUCACACUGUGACGGUAUCUUACCAGAAAGGGACGGCUAAAUACGUG